rnacentral:lncRNA from 1 species
GGGAGGUAAGGCAAUAAAUAGGCCAUAGUGGCGAAAUAAAUUACAAUUUAGCAAUUAAACACUGGAGUGAUAGAUGUGCAGAAGAUGAAUGUGCAAGUAGAGAUACUGGGGUGCAAAGGAGCAAAAAAACAAAACAAUAUGGGGAUGAGGUAGUUGGGUGGGCUAUUUACAGAUGGGCUAUGUACAGGUGCAAUGAUCUGUAAGCUGCUCUGACAGCUGAUACUUAAAGUUAGUGAGGGAGAUAUGAGUCUCCAGCUUCAGUGAUUUUGCAGUUCAUUCCAGUCAUUGGCAGCAGAGAACUGGAAGGAAAGGAGGCCAAAGUAGGAAUUGGCUUUGGGGGUGACCAGUGAAAUAUACCUGCUGGAGCGCGUGCUACGGGGGGGUGCUGGUAUGGUGACCAGUGAGCUGAGAUAAGGUGGGGCUUUACCUAGCAGAGACUUAUAGAUGAAUUGGAGCCAAUGGGAUUGGUGACGAAUAUGAAGCAAGGGCCAGCCAAUGAGAGCAUACAGGUCGCAGUGGUGGGUAGUAUAUGGGGCUUUGGUGACAAAACGAAUGGCACUGUGAUAGGCUGCAUCCAAUUUGGUGAGUAGAGUGUUGGAGGCUAUUUUGUAAAUGACAUCGCCGAAGUCAAGGAUUGGUAGGAUAGUCAGUUUUACGAGGGAAUGUUUGGCAGAAUGAGUGAAGGAUGCUUUGUUGCGAAAUAGGAAGCCGAUUCUAGAUUUAAUUUUGGAUUGGAGAUGCUUAAUGUGAGUCUGGAAGGAGAGUUUACAGUCUAACCAGACACCUAGGUAUUUGUAGUUGUCCACAUAUUCUAAGUCAGAACCGUCCAGAGUAGUGAUGCUAGACGGGCGGGCAGGUGCGGGCAGCGAUCGGAUGAAGAACAUGCAUUUAGUUUUACUUGCAUUUAAGAGCAGUUGGAAGCCAUGGAAGGAGUAUUGUAUGGCAUUGAAGCUCGUCUGGAGGGUAGUUAACACAGUGUCCAAAGAAGGGCCAGAAGUAUACAAAAUGGUGUCGUCUGCAUAGAGGUGGAUCAGAGAAUCACCAGCGGCAAGAGCGACAUCAUUGAUGUAUACAGAGAAAAGAGUCGGCCAGAGAAUUUAACCCUGUGGCACCCCCAUAGAGACUGCCAGAGGUCCGGACAACAGGCCCUCUGAUUUGACACACUGAACUCUGUCUGAGAAGUAUUUGGUGAACCAGGCGAGGCAAUCAUUUGAGAAACCAAGGCUGUUGAGGCUGCCGAUAACAAUGCUGUGAUUGACAGAGUCAAAAGCCUUGGCCAGGUCGAUGAAUACGGCUGCACAGUAUUGUCUUUUAUCGAUGGCAGUUAUGAUAUCGUUUAGGACCUUGAGCGUGGCUGAGGUGCACCCAUGACCAGCUCAGAAACCAGAUUGCAUAGCGGAGAAGGAAUGGUGGGAUUCGAAAUGGUCGGUGAUCUGUUUGUUAACUUGGCUUUCGAAGACCUUAGAAAGGCAGGGUAGGAUAGAUAUGGGUCUGUAACAGUUUGGGUCUAGGGUGUCUCCCCCUUUGAAGAGGGGGAUGACCGCGGCAGCUUUCCAAUCUGUGGGGAUCUCAGAUGAUACGAAAGAGAGGUUGAACAGGCUAGUAAUAGGGGUUGCAACAAUUGCGGCGGAUAAUUUUAGAAAGAGAGUGUCCAGCUUGUCUAUCCCAGCUGAUUUGUAGGGGUCCAGAUUUUGCAGCUCUUUCAGAACAUCAGCUAUCUGGAUUUGGGUGAAGGAGAAAUGGGGGAGGCUUGGGCAAGUUGCUGUGGGGGGUGCAGAGCUGUUGACCAGGGUAGGGUAGCCAGGUGGAAAGCAUGGCCAGCCAUAGAAAAAUGCUUAUUGAAAUUCUCAAUUAUCGUGGAUUUAUCGGUGGUGACAGUAUUUGCUAGCCUCAGUGCAGUGGGCAGCUGGGAGGAGGUGCUCUUAUUCUCCAUGGACUUUACAGUGUCCCAGAACUUUUUGGAGUUUGUGCUACAGGAUGCAAAUUUAUGUUAGAAAAAUCUAGCCUUUGCUUUCCUAACUGCCUGUUUAUAUUGGUUCCUAACUUCCCUGAAAAGUUGCAUAUCGCGGGGGCUAUACGAUGCUAAUACAGAACGCCACAGGAUGUUUUUGUGCUGGUCAAGGGCAGUCAGGUCUUGAGUGAACAAAGGGCUAUAUCUGUUCCUGGUUAAAAAAAAAAUUGAAUGGGGCAUGCUUAUUUAAGAUGGCGAGGAAAGCACUUUUAAAGAAUAACCAGGCAUCCUCUACUGACGGAAUGAGGUUAAUAUCCUUCCAGGAUACCCGGGCCAGGUCAAUUAGAAAGGCCUGCUCGCUGAAGUGUUUUAGGGAGCGUUUGACAGUGAUGAGGGGUGGUCGUUUGACCGCGGACACAUUACGGACGCAGGCAAUGAGGCAGUGAUCGCUGAGAACCUGGUUGAAGACAGCAGAGGUGUAUUUAGAGGGCAGGUUGGUCAGGAUGAUAUCCAUGAGGGUUCCUGUGUUUAUGGAUUUGGGGUUGUACCUGGUAGGUUCCAUGAUAAUUUGGGAGAGAUUGAGGGCAUCUAUCUUAGAUUGUAGGACGGCCGGGGUGUUAAGCAUGUCCCAGUUUAGGUAACCUAACAGUACAAACUCUGAAGAUAAAUAUGUGGCAAUGAAUUCACAUAUGGUGUCCAGGGCACAGCAGGGGGUCUGUAACAAGCGGCAACAGUGAGAGACUUAUUUCUGGAAAGGUGGAUUUUUAAAAGUAGAAGCUCGAACUGUUUGGGCACAGACCUGGAUAGCAUGACAGAACUCUGCAGGCUGUCUCUGCAGUAGAUUGCAACUCCACCUCCUUUGGCAGUUCUAUCUUGGCGGAGAAUGUUGUAGUUGGGGAUGGACAUUUCUGAAUUUUUGGUGGCCUUCCUAAGCCAUAUUGGCAGUUCUUGUAUACUAUACAGUGUACAACAAAGAAUAUUGACAGAAUUCAAUACACAAUCCGAUCUCAUACAAAACCAACCCAGCAUAGAACACUCAUCAAAUAUUUAGGAAUGUUUUAGUCAAUUUAAAAUGUGAAUAACGGUUAUUAUCGAUGACCCCAACCAUCAGAAAUGUGUUGACUAAUCAGGUUAGCGUUCAAAAUAAUGGAAUUAUGACUCGCAUUGAAUCAAAUAAAAAUAGAAUCCUGCCUAACUCACACUUGUGGGAUUACGACAGAAUUAAGGCCACGUAUC